UUCACAGGCGCGGAAUGUGGGCGGGCUGACUCCAGGCCUCCUGCCUCACAGAGACGGGGACAGGUCUCCCCAGUCCCAUCGCGGCCGGGCCUCACAGUGCACACCAGAGACGGCCGGGCUCCCCGAGUCUCGGCCAGAGAGGCAACGUGCUGGUGAACCUCUCCUGUACCCUGUCCAGAGCCUCCACAUCCUUCCUAUAGUAUGGUGGUGAGAACUGCAAGCAAAACUCCAAAUGAGGCCUAGCCAAAGUUUUAUACAGCUGCAACAUGACUUCCCAACUUUUAUACUCAACACCCUGACCAAUGAAGGCAAAGACUGCUGAACAUAGGAGACCAGAUUCUAAAUGGAUCACUACUUGAAGGAAAGAAGUGGGAAAAAACAAAUGAAUGGAAGAAAACACCACGGAUUGUAAACUGUCUUCCCUAAUAACAUGCUGUACCCAUUACUCAUCUUCUAUUUCUCAAUACA